rnacentral:rRNA from 1 species
UGUAAUUUGUAGAGGAUGCUUUUGGUGAGGUGCCUUCCGAGUUCCCUGGAACGGGACGCCAUAGAGGGUGAGAGCCCCGUACGGUUGGAUACCAAACCUCUGUAUAGCUCCUUCAACGAGUCGAGUAGUUUGGGAAUGCUGCUCUAAAUGGGAGGUAUAUCUCUUCUAAAGCUAAAUAUAGGCUAGAGACCGAUAGCGCACAAGUAGAGUGAUCGAAAGAUGAAAAGCACUUUGAAAAGAGAGUUAAACAGCACGUGAAAUUGUUGAAAGGGAAGCGCCUAUGACCAGACUUGUUUCUGGCAGUUUCGUUAGCCCUCGGGCUGAUUUACUCUGUCCAGUACAGGCCAGCAUCAGUUUGCUGUCGGGGAGAAAGGCUCUGGGAACGUAGCUCCCCCCUUCUGGGGGGAGUGUUAUAGCCCUCUGCAUAAUACCCUUCGGCAGACUGAGGACCGCGCUUCGGCAAGGAUGCUGGCGUAAUGGUCAUCAGCGACCCGUCUUGAAACACGGACCAAGGAGUCAACCUUAUGUGCGAGUGUUUGGGUGUAAAACCCCAGCGCGUAAUGAAAGUGAACGUAGGUGAGAGCUUCGGCGCAUCAUCGACCGAUUCUGAUGUUUUCGGAUGGAUUUGAGUAAGAGCACACAGGGUUGGACCCGAAAGAAGGUGAACUAUGCUUGUAUAGGGUGAAGCCAGAGGAAACUCUGGUGGAGGCUCGCAGCGGUUCUGACGUGCAAAUCGAUCGUCAAAUAUGAGCAUGGGGGCGAAAGACUAAUCGAACCUUCUAGUAGCUGGUUCCAGCCGAAGUUUCCCUCAGGAUAGCAGUGUUGAAUUUUCUUCAGUUUUAUGAGGUAAAGCGAAUGAUUAGGGACUCGGGGGCGCUAUAUUGCCUUCAUCCA